ACUCCUACGGGAGGCAGCAGUGGGAAUUUUGCGCAAUGGGCGAAAGCCUGACGCAGCAACGCCGCGUGCGGGAAGAAGGCCCUCGGGUUGUAAACCGCUUUCAGCAGGAACGAAACUGACGGUACCUGCAGAAGAAGCCCCGGCCAACUACGUGCCAGCAGCCGCGGUGAUACGUAGGGGCGAGCGUUGUCCGGAUUCAUUGGGCGUAAAGAGCUCGUAGGCGGUUCGGUUAGUCAGAUGUGAAAACUCCGGGCUCAACUCGGAGAGGCCAUCUGAUACUGCCGUGACUGGAGUUCGGUAGAGGAGUGUGGAAUUCCCGGUGUAGCGGUGAAAUGCGCAGAUAUCGGGAGGAACACCAGCGGCGAAGGCGGCACUCUGGGCCGAUACUGACGCUGAGGAGCGAAAGCGUGGGGAGCGAACAGGAUUAGAUACCCUGGUAGGCUCU
rnacentral:rRNA from 1 species